AAAAAAUGAGCAAACGGCAUUUUUUAAACUUGAAGAUGACAAAUUAUUAACUUUCAAGUUUCAUUGUUUCUUGGUGAACCUCUGUUUGUUGUUUGUGACUGAAGGUUCAGUAAAUGAUGAAACAUUA